GUUCCUGCUCCGGCUCCUGCGGGGAUGGAUGCUUCACGCAGUAAGCGACCUAAGUCGCGGAAGCGUAGACACCCGGCUUUUCCCGCGUGCUCUAUCGGGCUCCCCUGGACACGGAGGGUGGAGCAGAAAGAGCAGAGGGGCCGGUGGGAGCCAUGGGGAGUCCGCCUAGCUCCAGAGGACACCUUACCUGGAUCCGCCUUUGUAGCCUCCUCCUGGCUCUGGGGGCUGUCCUGUGGGGUCCGAGUAGCUGAAAGACAGCCCCUCCAUGUGAGGAAGCCCCCAACUGGGGAAAACCCCCUCGUGGACUCAUUCCUGUCCCUGCAUGUGGCCUUCACCUGACUGUCUGCAUUGAGGCAUCCUCUGCCAAGAGCAAUUUCAAAGUGGCAGGGAGAAUGAGGCACUGGCCUGGGCACAGAAUUGAAGGGGCACCAAAAAUCGCAAUCAUCAAGGGAAAUCGUAUUUUAAUGCCAUAUUUUAAAACUCAAAAUUAACAAAAGGAAUCCAUGAUGAACGAACUAUCAACAUUUCAAGUAAAGACAGGAUCUGUUUCAUGGAUAUCUCCUUUUGCCUCAGGGUCCAAUAUGGAACGGCAUAGUUGAUUCUGUCUUUAUUUAAAAUUUUUGGCGGCGCGCGGUGGCUCAAGCCUGUAAUCCCAGCACUUUGGGAGGCCGAGGCGGGUGGAUCACGAGGUCAGGAGAUCGAGACCAUCCUGGCUAACACGGUGAAACGCCGUCUGUACUAAAAGUACAAAAAAAUUAGCCGGACGUGGUGGCGGGAGCCUGUAGUCCCAGCUACUCCGGAGGCUGAGGCAGGAGAAUGGUGUGAACCCGGGAGGUGGAGCUUGCAGUGAGCCGAGAUGGCGCCACUGCACUCCAGCCUGGGUGACAGAGCGAGACUCCAUCUCAAAAAAAAAUGAUAAUAAAUAAAAUAAAAUUUUGAUUUUUUGUUCAUCGUGGAUUUUUUUCCCCAUUACUUUUUGCAUUAACAUUAUUUAUCUUGAAUUCUGGCUGCUCUUAAAUUCUGCACCCAAGGCAAGUGGGCUUCACUCUAGUCCCAUUCCGGGAGGACGGUGGAUUCGUGAGCAUUCGGGAGACCACCACAGGACCCUUAAGCUGCUUCAUUGCGCAGUGGGAUCCCCUGUAACCCCAGACUUCAGUAAUAAUCCCACACAGAAAGGUCUUACGUGAGUGUUUUCUUGUGAAAAUUAAAGGAAAGUGCUGCUUUCAACAUCUGCCACAUUUGCAAGAAGAGCAAAGGUGGCCCAUUUGAGACCACCCUUGAACUAAACCAUCCAGUGAGCCCCUGAGGUCGGGACAGAAGUGGCCAUGACCUUCCUCAAGCAGGGACUGUGGUGGAGCCCACCUUAUCCAGCACAAGGUGGCCUGCUGACUUCUGGUGACAGUGAUGCCAACUUCCUGGCUGUCCAAGGUUCAAAUCUUGGUCUUAAUCCUCCUGGCCUUCUCUCAUCAAUGGCCAGAGCCACCCUAGCUAACAAGGUGCCCAGGGACUCCGGGGUGGGAGAAGUCCAGCUUCUUCUUAGCUGAGGACAUUUGAGUCUCGUCACAGCCCCCAAAAGAAUACUCAUUUUUGUAGCUGGAGGGCCUGGCCUCUGUCUAUCUUUGCUUUUCCAGAAGCUGACAAGUACCUGCCGGAAAAACUGCCUCUUUUCCCUCCCGUGCUUGGAGCAGGCAUUGCUGACAGAUCACAGCUGCUGGGCCCAAAGGUCCCUUUGCACGCGGGACUUCAGGAAGUUGCUGCUGACCUAUGGGAGUUGGUGCAGAAAGAUGAAAUUUGUUAUCCUUGGCUGUAUCAACUCUCUCUCCUCUCCUUGGUGGUGAUAGUUUUGUUCUUAAAAGCCUCUUGUGAGAGAAUUUGUGGAUGAAGAACCUGUAAGAUCACAAGUGAAACAAUUUAUUGAUGUCAAUAGAUUUAUACACGUUCAUUAAGAAUCAAAACUAAACUAAAACAUCAGUCUGACUAAAGAGACCACCACAGAUAUUUCAUAUGCUGUACAUCAGUAACAAAGGGUACCAAAUAGUUAAUAUCCAUGUACUAGUCACAUGAGAAAUGUUUUAGGGUCAUUGACCAGUGUAGUCAGUACAGUGGUCCCAUGGUAUUUGUGGGGGAUUGGUUCCAGGAAUCUCUUGGACACCAACUCCGUGGAUGAUCAGACAAUAUAAAAUGUGGGUCAGGUGCGGUGGCUCAUACCUGUAAUCCCAGCAUUUUGCGAGAAUCACUUGAGGCCAGUUCAAGAUCAGCCUGUGCAACAUAGCAAGACUCCACCUCUAAAAAAAAAAAAAAAAAAAAAAAUUAGCCCAGUGCAGCGGUGUGCACCUGUAGUCCCAGCUUCUCAUGAGGUUGAGGUGAAAAGAUCACUUGGGCCCAGGAGUUUGAGGCUGCAGUGAGCUGUGACUGCCACUGCACUCCAGCCUGAGUGACAAAGCAAGUCCCUGUCUCUUAAAAAAUAAAAUAAAAUAAUAGCAUUUGAAUGUAACCUACACACAUCUCCCAUAUACUUUAAAUCAUCUGUAGAUUGCUUAUAAUACCUAAUACACUGUAAAUGCUAUGUAAAUAGUUGUUAUUCUGUGUAGUUUUUAAAAACGUGUAUUUCUUAUUGUAUUUUUUUGUUUGUUUUUUGUUGUUUUUGGAGACAAGGAGACAAGGUCUCACUCUAUCACCCAGGCUGGAGUGCAGUGGCACCAUCUCGGCUCACUGCAGCCUUGACAUCCUGGGCCCAAGCGAUCCUUCUACUUCAACCUCCCAAGUAGCUGGGAAUACAGGCGCUUGUCAUCAUGCCUGACUAAUUUUUGUAUUUUUGUAGAGAUAGGGUUUCACCAUGUUGCCCAGGCUGGUCUUGAACUCCUGGGCUCAAGUAAUCCUCCUGCCUCAGCCUCCCAAACUGCUGAAAUUACAGAUGUGAGCCACCACGCCCGGCCAUUAUUGUUGUAUUUUUAUUUUUUUUCAAACAUUUUUGACUUGCGGUUGGUUGAAUCUGUGCGUGUGGGAAGCAUAGAUACUGAGGACUGUAGUUUCACCAAAAUGCUUCCAGUCACUGUGCCUUCCACCAGCUCCCUCACACAUCUGGGUGCAUGACGUGUCGUGGGAAGAGUGUGGCCUCCAGGGCCCACCAACCUAAGCUUCAAUUCCAACUCCACUCCUGCGGACCAGUUACUUCCUUGAGGUCCAUUCUUCUCAUUUGCAAAAUGGGAGAACAACUUUUCCUCAGGUUGCUGGGAAGAUUAAACAAGAUCGUGAUUCAGAAUGCUUAGCAUGUAUGCUCAUGACACACUUAAAGAAUGCCGGCUACCCUUUCUGUUCCCCUUGCCACACUUACUCCCUCGCUACCUUCUCUGUGGGGGUCCUUCUUCCGAAAGUCAAUAUAUUUCUGAUUUAAGACUUGGCCUCUCUGAGCCCCACCAUGGUGACUCUUGAUUUGAAUGUAGAUAUCCCACAUCUCAAUGUAGAUGAAAAGGUGGAGCUGAAAAUUUAUACCAGAGUCAGAUCCAGGUUUUAGGGGUCCUGGAACCUAUACAAUUUGGGGCGCCUUCUUACA
rnacentral:lncRNA from 1 species